GACGAACGCUGGCGGCGUGCUUAACACAUGCAAGUCGAACGGAAAGGCCCUGCUUUUGUGGGUUGCUCGAGUGGCGAACGGGUGAGUAACACGUGAGUAACCUGCCCUUGACUUUGGGAUAACUUCAGGAAACUGGGGCUCAUACCGGAUAGGAGCUCCUGCUGCAUGGUGGGGGUUGGAAAGUUUCGGCGGUUGGGGAUGGACUCGCGGCUUAUCAGCUUGGUGGUGGGGUAGUGGCUUACCAAGGCUUUGACGGGUAGCCGGCCUGAGAGGGUGACCGGCCACAUUGGGACUGAGAUACGGCCCAGACUCCUACGGGAGGCAGCAGUGGGGAAUAUUGCACAAGGAUCGGAAGCCUGAUGCAGCACCGCCGCGUGCGGGAUGACGGCCUUCGGGUUGUAAGCCGCUUUCGCCUGUGACGAAGCGUGAGUGACGGUAAUGGGUAAAGAAGCACGGGCUAACUACGUG
rnacentral:rRNA from 1 species